GAGAAACACCUAUUCCCGUACGAGCAUCGAAGUUAAGCAACGUCGAGCCUGGCUAGUACCUUGAUGGAUGAACGUUUGGCAAUAUCAGGUGCUGUAAG